rnacentral:rRNA from 1 species
GUCGAGCGGGUGUAGCAAUACACCAGCGGCAGACGGGUGAGUAACGCGUGGGAACGUACCUUUUGGUUCGGAACAACACAGGGAAACUUGUGCUAAUACCGGAUAAGCCCUUACGGGGAAAGAUUUAUCGCCGAAAGAUCGGCCCGCGUCUGAUUAGCUAGUUGGUGAGGUAACGGCUCACCAAGGCGACGAUCAGUAGCUGGUCUGAGAGGAUGAUCAGCCACAUUGGGACUGAGACACGGCCCAAACUCCUACGGGAGGCAGCAGUGGGGAAUAUUGGACAAUGGGGGCAACCCUGAUCCAGCCAUGCCGCGUGAGUGAUGAAGGCCCUAGGGUUGUAAAGCUCUUUUGUGCGGGAAGAUAAUGACGGUACCGCAAGAAUAAGCCCCGGCUAACUUCGUGCCAGCAGCCGCGGUAAUACGAAGGGGGCUAGCGUUGCUCGGAAUCACUGGGCGUAAAGGGUGCGUAGGCGGGUCUUUAAGUCAGGGGUGAAAUCCUGGAGCUCAACUCCAGAACUGCCUUUGAUACUGAAGAUCUUGAGUCCGGGAGAGGUGAGUGGAACUGCGAGUGUAGAGGUGAAAUUCGUAGAUAUUCGCAAGAACACCAGUGGCGAAGGCGGCUCACUGGCCC